AUAAAUAAGCGGAGGAAAAGAAACCAAACGGGAUUCCCUUAGUAACGGCGAGCGAAAAGGGAAAUGUCCAGCACCAAGUCUUGACAUCUACGGUGUUCAAGAGAUGCGGUGUUAAUGUAUCGACCCAUCGUGCACUGUUCCACGUUUCAAGUUCCUACGACCGGGACUUCCAGAGCGGGUGUAAGACCCAUAGAGAUGCGGAACUAGUGUAUGCUGUGCGAUGCAUUCUAGAGUCAGGUUGCUUGAGAGUGCAGCUUAAAGUCGGUGGUAAACUCCAUCCAAGACUAAAUAUUACAGCGAGACCGAUAGCAAACAAGUACCGUGAGGGAAAGUUGCAAAGCACUUUGAAGAGAGAGUUCAAAAGUACGUGAAACCACUGGGAGGCAAACAGAUGGAACCACGAAGUGUGCGCCUCGGUCGAUUCAAUCAUCACCACUUGUCAAUUGUCGUAAAUUUGGGUCUCUUUGGAGGUUGAUUUGCGACAAUUUGCGAUGGGUGGUGUUGGUGCAUUUCGUGCCGAGGAUGCAAAGCCACGUUCAACUAGACAGUUGGGACGGCAGUAAUGAWAGGAUCGAAGAAAGGUGCCCGUCACGUGCUUGCAUUUGACGGCGUUAUAGUCUUUGAUCGGAACCGUCUCCUAACAUACUGGUUGAUAAAAGUUCUCCUAUUGGAGUGUUGGACCACGUCUGCCUGUGGUUGUUAGUCUGCAUUGCGUAAUGUUCUUUGCGUAUCUUUCGAUGCGAAAAGACUUUGCAAAAGUGCAGGUUAAUGGCUGCUUGCAAAAUGUGGUUUGAACUGUGGCGUGAGUAGGUCGGUCUCCAUCUGACCCGUCUUGAAACACGGACCAAGGAGCCUAUCAUAUACGCGAGUCACUCGGUCUUGUUUAGGCCUGGGAGGCGAAAUGAAAGUAAAGUUACGAGGCCCUGAUGGGUUGCAGUAGCAGCUCGCCCACUUUGUUUAUUCGGCAAUAUGGCGAAGCUGGAGCGUAUACGAUGGUACCCGAAAGAUGGUGAACUAUGCCUGGGCAAGACGAAGCCAGAGGAAACUCUGGUGGAGGUCUGUAGCGAUUCUGACGUGCAAAUCGAUCGUCAGACCUGGGUAUAGGGGCGAAAGACUAAUCGAACCAUCUAGUAGCUGGUUCCCUCCGAAGUUUCCCUCAGGAUAGCAGGCGUUUAGUUAGUAGUCUCAUCCGGUAAAGCUAAUGAUUAGAGGUCUUGGGGUUGAAACGACCUCAACCUAUUCUCAAACUUUAAAUGGGUGAGAUGGUUGACUUUCUUGAUUGAAGCCAACCAUUUGGAUACGAAUGCCUAGUGGGCCAUUUUUGGUAAGCAGAACUGGCGCUGUGGGAUGAACCAAACGUCGAGAUAAGGCAUCAAAUGCGUACGCUCAUCAGACCCCAUGAAAGGUGUUGGUUGCUAUAGACAGCAGGACGGUGGCCAUGGAAGUCGGAAUCCGCCAAGGAGUGUGUAACAACUCACCUGCCGAAGCAACUAGCCCUGAAAAUGGACGAUGCUGUAGCGUGGAGCCGAUACUCGACCGUUGUAGUAAAUUUGAAAUUAAGAUAUUACAACGAGUAGGAGGGCCGCAGUGUUGGCGUGGAAGGUGUCCGGCGUGAGCCGGCCUGGAGCCAUCAUUGUU
rnacentral:rRNA from 1 species